rnacentral:rRNA from 1 species
CCCUUAGAUGUCCUGGGCCGCACGCGCGCCACACUGAGUGUCUGAGAUACGAGUCUGCCUAGCCGGCGAGGUCUAGGUAAUCGCUGAAAGACACAUCAUGCUUGGGAUAGAUUAUUGCAGAUAUUAAUCUUGAACGAGGAAUUCCUAGUAAGCGCAAGUCAACAGCUUGCGUUGAUUACGUCCCUGCCCUUUGUACACACCGCCCGUCGCUACUACUGAUUGGAUGUUUAAGCGAGGUUCUCGAACUGCUAGCGACUUAGCUUCGGUGAGGUCGCCGUGUGGGAAGUGAACCUAGCUUUGGUGUCUAGAGGAAGUAAAAGUCGUAUCA